rnacentral:rRNA from 1 species
UUUUAUGAGAGUUUGAUCCUGGCUCAGGAUGAACGCUGGCGGCGUGCCUAACACAUGCAAGUCGAGCCGUGCCUAACACAUGCAAGUCGAGC